rnacentral:rRNA from 1 species
UACGGGGGGAGCAAGCGUUGUUCGGAUUUACUGGGCGUAAAGGGCGCGUAGGCGGCCACCGCAAGUCAGUUGUGAAAUCUCUGGGCUUAACCCAGAACGGUCAGCUGAUACUGCGGGGCUAGAGUGCAGAAGGGGCAACUGGAAUUCUCGGUGUAGCGGUGAAAUGCGUAGAUAUCGAGAGGAACACCUGCGGCGAAGGCGGGUUGCUGGGCUGACACUGACGCUGACAGCGCGAAAGCUAGGGGGAGCGAACAGG